rnacentral:rRNA from 1 species
UGGCUCGAGGACGAACGCUGGCGGCGUGCUUAACACAUGCAAGUCGAACGAUGAAGCCCUUCGGGGUGGAUUAGUGGCGAACGGGUGAGUAACACGUGGGCAAUCUGCCCUUCACUCUGGGACAAGCCCUGGAAACGGGGUCUAAUACCGGAUAACGCUCUGUUCCGCAUGGGACGGGGUUAAAAGCUCCGGCGGUGAAGGAUGAGCCCGCGGCCUAUCAGCUUGUUGGUGGGUGAUGGCCUACCAAGGCGACGACGGGUAGCCGGCCUGAGAGGGCGACCGGCCACACUGGGACUGAGACACGGCCCAG